rnacentral:rRNA from 1 species
AGAAUGAACGCUGGCGGCGUGCUUAACACAUGCAAGUCGAGCGAGGCCAGGGGGGCAACUCCCUGAGUCGAGCGGCGGACGGGUGAGUAACACGUGGGUAACCUACCCGGAAGUGGGGAAUACCUCGGGGAAACUCGAGCUAAUACCGCAUGAAAUCUCGAGGGCGAAAGUCCUUUUGAUCAAAGCGGGGCCGCAAGGCCUCGUGCUACCGGAUGGGCCCGCGCCCGAUUAGCUAGUUGGCGAGGUAAUGGCUCACCAAGGCGACGAUC